rnacentral:tRNA from 1 species
CCUCGGGGUCCUCGGGGUUGCCGGCGAGCGCCGCGUGCGCGGCGGUGGCGGCGGAGGCGAGCGCCUCCGCGUGGCCGAGCCGCUCGGCCUCGGCGGCC